rnacentral:rRNA from 1 species
UGGCGAACGGGUGAGUAACACGUGGGCAACCUGCCCAAAAGAGGGGGAUAACACUUGGAAACAGGUGCUAAUACCGCAUAACCAUAGUUACCGCAUGGUAACUAUGUAAAAGGUGGCUAUACUACCGCUUUUGGAUGGGCCCGCGGCGCAUUAGCUAGUUGGUAGGGUAAAGGCUUACCAAGGCAAUGAUGCGUAGCCGAAUUGAGAGGUUGAUCGGCCNCAUUGGGACUGAGACACGGCCCAAACUCCUACGGGAGGCAGCAG